rnacentral:rRNA from 1 species
GACGAACGCUGGCGGCGUGCUUAACACAUGCAAGUCGAACGGAAAGGCCCUGCUUUUGUUGGGUGCUCGAGUGGCGAACGGGUGAGUAACACGUGAGUAACCUGCCCUUGACUUUGUGAUAACUUCAGGAAACUGGGGCGCAUACCGGGUAGGAUCUCCUGCUGCAUGUUGGGGGUUGGAGAGUUUCGGCUGUUGGGGAUGGACUGGCGGCUUAUCAGCUUGUUGGUCGGGUAGUUGCUUACCAAGGGUUUGACGGGUAGCCGGCCUGAGAGGGUGACCGGGCACAUGGGGACUGAGAUACGGAGCAGAAUCCAACGGGAGGCAGUAGUGGAGAAUAUUGCACAGUGGGGGGAAGUGUGAUGUAGCGGCGCUGCGAGCGGAAUGAUGUCUUUCGGGUUGUAAACCGCUUUGGCCUGUGACGAAGAGUGAGUGACGGUAACGGGUAAAGAAGCACCGGCUAACUACGUG